AUUGAACGCUGGCGGCAUGCCUUACACAUGCAAGUCGAACGGUAACGCGGGGCAACCUGGCGACGAGUGGCGAACGGGUGAGUAAUACAUCGGAACGUGCCCAGUAGUGGGGGAUAGCCCGGCGAAAGCCGGAUUAAUACCGCAUACGACCUACGGGUGAAAGCAGGGGAUCGCAAGACCUUGCGCUAUUGGAGCGGCUGAUGUCAGAUUAGGUUGUUGGUGGGGGUAAAAGCCUACCAAGCCGACGAUCUGUAGCUGGUCUGAGAGGACGACCAGCCACACUGGGACUGAGACACGGCCCAGACUCCUACGGGAGGCAGCAGUGGGGAAUUUUGGACAAUGGGCGCAAGCCUGAUCCAGCCAUGCCGCGUGCGGGAAGAAGGCC
rnacentral:rRNA from 1 species